rnacentral:lncRNA from 1 species
UUUUUUUUUUUGAGAAAUAGGUAGCAAGCUACCUGCUUCAUUUAUUAAGUAAAAUGAAUUAGGCAUACAUGAUGGAAGCAACUAGGGCCGCCUGACCGAGCCGACAAAGCAGAAAAGCAGGAAAUGUGAAAAACAGGACCGUAAAACGGGAAGCGUAAAACCAAAUAAAACAAAACAGAACUAAACAAAACAGAGGGAAGCGAGGAAAACAAGGAUAAAAGGCGUAGUGAAAGAGAGUAAAGUUUUAGCUCAGAUUCCGAUAACGUCAGUCCAGUCUUUGAUGAGAG